GCAGACUGGUUUCACCUCCUCACCUCCCUCAUAAUUCUCCUCUUCAGCCGCUGGAGGUUUCAGUGGGAGCACUAAAUUGGAGAAUACCAUUCCUAAACCAUGACAGAUGGCCAUUCCAUCAUCUGAGGUGGACAACAGUGUGAAAUGUGGCCAAAAAAAGUCAAGAUACAAGAGACUGCAGCAGAAAUUUUGUCAUCCUUAAACUGUCACACUAGUUAGUCAUUAUGUGUUGAGCAGAAAUAAGCAAAUG